AGAGUUUGAUCCUGGCUCAGAACGUACGCUGGCGGCACGCCUUAUACAUGCAAGUCGAACGAAGUAGCAAUACUUAGUGGCAGACGGGUGAGUAACAUGUGGGUAUCUUCCCUUUGGCCUGGAAUAACACGAGGAAACUUGUGCUAAUACUGGAUAAGUCUUUACGGAGAAAGCUUUAUGCACCAUUGGAUGAGCCCGCACUUGAUUAGUUUGUUGGUGGGGUAAUGGCCUACCAAGACAAUGAUCAAUAGCUGAUUUGAGAGGAUGAUCAGCCACAUUGGAACUGAGACACGGUCCAAACUUCUACGGAAGGCAGCAGUAGGGAAUCUUGCACAAUGGAGGAAACUCUGAUGCAGCGAUGCCGCGUGAGUGAAGAAGGCCUUUGGGUUGUAAAGCUCUUUCGUCGGGGAAGAAAAUGACUGUACCCGAAUAAGAAGGUCCGGCUAACUUCGUGCCAGCAGCCGCGGUAAUACGAAGGGACCUAGCGUAGUUCGGAAUUACUGGGCUUAAAGAGUUCGUAGGUGGUUAAAAAAGUUGGUGGUGAAAUCCCAGAGCUUAACUCUGGAACUGCCAUCAAAACUUUUUAGCUAGAGUAUGAUAGAGGAAAGCAGAAUUUCUAGUGUAGAGGUGAAAUUCGUAGAUAUUAGAAAGAAUACCAAUUGCGAAGGCAGCUUUCUGGAUCAUUACUGACACUGAGGAACGAAAGCAUGGGUAGCGAAGAGGAUUAGAUACCCUCGUAGUCCAUGCUGUAAACGAUGUGUGUUAGACGUUGGAAAUUUAUUUUCAGUGUCGCAGCGAAAGCAAUAAACACACCGCCUGGGGAGUACGACCGCAAGGUUAAAACUCAAAUGAAUUGACGGGGACCCGCACAAGUAGUGGAGCAUGUGGUUUAAUUCGAAGAUACGCGCAGAACCUUACCAACACUUGACAUGUUCGUCGCGACUCUAAGAGAUUAGAGUUUUCGGUUCGGCCGGACGAAACACAGGUGCUGCAUGGCUGUCGUCAGCUCGUGUCGUGAGAUGUUGGGUUAAGUCCCGCAACGAGCGCAACCCUUACUUUUAGUUGCCAUCAUUUAGUUGGGCACUCUGAAAGAACUGCCAGUGAUAAGCUGGAGGAAGGUGGGGAUGACGUCAAGUCCUCAUGGCCCUUAUGUGUUGGGCUACACACGUGCUACAAUGGUAUCUACAACAGGAAGCAAGAUGGCAACAUUAAGCAAAUCCCAAAAAGAUACCUCAGUUCGGAUUGCACUCUGCAACUCGAGUGCAUGAAGCUGGAAUUACUAGUAAUCGUGGAUCAGCGUGCCACGGUGAAUGCGUUCCCGGGUCUUGUACACACCGCCCGUCACACCAUGGGAGUUGGUUCUACCUUAAGGCAAAGUUUAAAACCUUUGACUACGGUAUAGUCAGCGACUGGGGUGAAGUCGUAACAAGGUAACC
rnacentral:rRNA from 1 species